rnacentral:lncRNA from 1 species
UAGCUUGUAUUCUUUUACAAAACAGUCAUUAUUAUAGCUGCUAAUCAACAGCUGUUACUGAUCAUUCUAUUUGUUAUGGUUACUGGUAUCAUCUAUAUGUUGCCACCACUAAGCAGUAAAUCCCUCCUUUGCUGCCCAUCUUAUUUAAGUUAUGGUUUUAUUAUAUAUUAUGUAUAUUUUCCCUUUUUGAAAUUCAGAAGUUAAGAGUUACAAGUAAACUCUCAAAUUACAACACAUAGCAAAAAAAAAUGACUUACCAAAGCAGUAAUAGCAGCUGCUCGCUGCUGCUCACUGCUGUUAUUAUACAGCAGUCCCUUUUCCCCAAUCCCUUGUUUUAAGAGAUCAAAAUUCUCACCGUUUUGGCCCAUGUGUUGUUACAUUUUGAAUAUCAAAUUGGUGGUGUACUCACCCCUUUAAGAAAAUAUUAGCCAACUGAUAUGGGUUACUACUAUUUAACAUCCAUAAGAGCAAGAAGACCUCUUUUGUGUUGCCCAAAACAGUCACCUACUGUUGCCGUUAGGCAGCAGCCCCCCUUUCUUAACCACUACCUUGUUAAACUUUUAUUCCUUACAUUCUUGAUUUGUUUAUAUGAAGUUUUGAAAAUAAUAUAAUUGAUACUUCCACACUAAGAUAAUCUAUUGAGUCAACUGCUGCUGCCCAUAGGCAGCAGCCCUUCCAGUGCUUUGCCCAGCCUUAACCCCUACAUUAACGACCCCUUUACACUAUGUUUUGGACAUUACCCAACUGGUAUUUACACUUAUUACAGAGAAAUACCAGCUGGGCUGUUUUAGAAAUUUAUCUACACUAAAUGAGAGUCCAAGGAAGCCCCCAUCUGAUGCCAUAAACAGACAUGCAUAAACAGACAUAGCUGCCACCGUGGGCAGCAGCCCUACUCUUAUUUAAUGCCAUUUUUGGCAACCAUUUGGUAAAUUAGUCACAACCUUUUAUCAAAAAUAUUUACAUAAUACACCCCACCUUAAAAUAACAUGCAAUCUAUAAUCUCUACAAAUAAUAUGCAAUCAACUUGGUGGCUGCCCCAAAACAGUGAGUAAAAGUGUGUUAAAUUCUAGCAUUU